ACAUCUCAAAAGGCUCUGAAGAAAUUAAGUAUGAACUUGUGUGCAGAAAGGAUUAACUUAUAAAUAAUAACUAAUGGAUACAGUUAUCUUCUUUAUCUGUAUUUCUUUUCAUACAAUGGUUCACGGCUUGAACUAGGAAGAGCUGCAAAGUCAUUGGACAAAGUCAGGUGAGCGCCGAUUUUUCAAAUUCACUCUCAGCACUGUAAUUGGCUAAUAGCCUUGUCGCUGAGAAAUGGUGAGUUCUGAUUGGUUGAUUCGAUCAGAAGGCGGGUCAUCAACAGUUGCUCUGAUUCCGACCGACAGGCAGCAGCAGCUCAACAUACUCGUAAUGUUUCUGGAAAAUAGUAUCCGCCAGCUUUAUCGAAGAAACAAGAAGAUGAGGGAAAAAAGAGACCACAUGCAUCAUCUGUGCACACCCAGCACCCAGGAAUGUCUGAUUUCUCUGUUCUGCACCAGCCUUAUGCAUGCCCCUCUGAACUCAAGAAAAGAUCCUGGCUUCUGCAUCCAGCCCCAUUUGGUCCACAACUCUACCCCAGGCCUGCUCUCUCCCUCAGCCAAGUGGAGUCCCUACAAAACGUGGUGCACAACUGGAGACAGGACAAAGAUUUCACCUGAUGCCACGUGACGACGAGCUCAAGCACACGCAUUUUAAAACAGAAGAAAGGAAAAAUGGACAUCAAGCAGACGUGACCGCAGAUCAUCUUUACAGUUUACAAUAUGAAGAUUUACCAAGAUGAACACAAAACAUCCAGAACAGAAGGUUAACAAAUCAACUUUCCUGGACGAAUGGACAGUUACUUUUGGGCAAUGCUGGAAAAGUCCUGAAGGAAAAAACUUUGGAAGAGAAGAGUGAGUACUUCUCUGCAAGGCUAACAUCACCUGUUAGACUGCUACCCUGCCUGUGGGUAGGAUCGACAGCAGUGGUCUCCAACCUGAAUUCCUUGGUGAGCUACUUUUAUUUAACAAAAAUGAUAGAGCUAAUCUACAUAUCGAUGCCCUAUGUGACUUUGGUGGGGUAUUGAGGAUAUUUAAAAAACAAUUAAAGAAAAAUAACUUGAGUUUACUCAAUGCUUAUGCUUCACUGUAUUUAGUUAAUUGUUAGCAGAAAGUGUCUACACGCACACACACUUUGUCAGAGAUGGUACUUUUUUAUUUUAAGUCUAAUUAUUCUACUCUGUUGUAACCUCAUUAACUUAACACUUAAGUGUCAGACAGAGCUGAUGUGAAAGUUCAACCCCAAAUUAAGGUCUUGUUGCACAGUUCAAUAUGAAAUGCACCAUUUGAAUGUUUUAUUGCAUUGACGACUGUCUGUAGCCCUCUUGUUCACACUUCAAUGUGGCUUCAGUGAAAAAGUUUUAUUUAUUUCUGCAAUAUUUGUUGUCUUGCAUGUAUUAAAUAAAUGCAUCAUUUGCAAAUAAAGUAAGAUUUAAUAUUUUUUUCUCUAUCAUAGCCUGUGUAGACCUAGUUCUGGUAAAGUAAUAGCUAAUGCAAGUUAGUGUAUUUUUAUAAACUAAAAAUGAGACUAAAAGUAUACUGCUAGUAAACUAAGAGUAUAAAAGAAGGUUACUUUAAAG
ensembl:lncRNA